UAGCCAAGGAUGAGUUGCCUG
rnacentral:miRNA from 1 species